rnacentral:misc_RNA from 1 species
ACACCUCAACUCUUCAUGGUUUUCCAUGAUGAGCUUGGACUUUGGGGGUCUUGCUGGCCUGUAGUCAGCUCCUCUCAAAUGAAUCAGCUUGCCAGUGUUUGGUGGGCAUCACAGGUGUGAUAACUAUCUACGCUUGUGGUUUUCCACCAAGUAACCUUCAGCAGUGGAGGUUCGCUGGAGCUCACAGACGUCUCUCCUCAGUGAGGACAGCCCUUUGAAU